AGCUCCAAUAGCGUAUAUUAAAGUUGUUGCAGUUAAAAAGCUCGUAGUUGGAUUUCUGGCGUGAGGUGCUUGACCCGCCGCGGUUACGCGUGUGAGUGUCGGUGUGCCUCGGCCAUCCUUCUAGAAACUGGCUCUGCCCUUCAUUGGGUUGGGGUCAGGAUCUGGAUCUUUUACUUUGAAAAAAUUAGAGUGUUUAAAGCAAGCUUUGCGUGAAUACAUUAGCAUGGAAUAAUAACUUAGGACUUCGGUUCUAUUUUGUUGGUUUCUAGGACUGAAGUAAUGAUUGAUAGGGAUAGUUGGGGGUGCUAGUAUUCAGCGGCCAGAGGUGAAAUUCUUGGAUUCGCUGAAGACUAACUUAUGCGAAAGCAUUCACCAAGGAUGUCUUCUUUAAUCAAGAACG
rnacentral:rRNA from 1 species